rnacentral:ncRNA from 2 species
ACUUUCGGCAACAGUUACGGUGCCUCGUCCGCUGGCCGACCUACCGGCCGGCGAUCGGGGAUAAUAGGGAAUCCGGUUCAAUGGCCGGAGUUGCCCCCGCAACUGUGCGCGGUAAGUGCUAAUCCGCUGCUUGGUCCCCGUAUAGAAGGGGCGCCAAGUGGUACCGCCACUGUCCCCGGAAGCUGGACACCGGGGGUGGAAAGGCCGGGCCUGCGCCCUGCACCGCAAGCCCGGAGACCUGCCGUGGCCUUGGUUUAUUU